CCCAUCGACCGGAAGUCGCUUUCUAGUUGGUACAUAAGCACAGAGUUAGAGUAAGCAAGGCUUGUCGGGUGGCAAGUGGUUUGAAGCACCUUGGUGGCAGUAAAUUCCUCAACCUUCCAGAUGUGUUGCUGUUUUAUGGUGUGGAAGGGACAGGCCCUGAAGAGAUGGCUCAAAUACGAAGAACCUCAUCAUCAGACUCGGAGAGCUCGGUCCAGUGCUUAACUGUGGAUCUCCUCAUCUGCCUCAAUCAGUUGCUGGAUGAAGAUUCUAUGAUAAUUCAGAAUGUUUGCCUCCAAAGUGUCUGACUGAAAAAUGAAGAAAUGAUUAGACUCUAAGUUUGUGAAAAUUCAACCUCAUCUGCCCUUGGCCUGUGCUUAUUUAUGUCCACCUUCAUCUCAAGCCACUGAUGUCUGAUAGGUUGAUGAUAAGGAACAAAUGUAAGCCUAGAUUAUCUGGUCCCAAGGUAGCUAGUCGAGAAGUGUGGCAGAAACAAAACAGUUAUUCAGCCAUGUUAGGGGAUUUAAUUACACACAUUCCUACUCCGACUUUGUAUUUCUGAAUUCUUUAAGUACAAACCUUAUCCCAGGUGAACUACAUUCCUCCAGGGUGGAAGUUUGCUUUAUGAAGCUCUUCAACCGGCUGUUCAUUUGUCUACCGAAUGAUGUCCUUUGUGAUAAUCCAGCUGUAGGAGAGCACUUUUCUGGGUUGUCUAAGUUGUUCUAGAAUUCACAAACUGGAGAGACAGUGUGGGAACCAUCUAGAAGCUAGAAGUAGCACCAGUUACAAGUAACGGUGGUGACCUGGGACCCGAACAAUGGGGCCCUCACCGUGUGGGCCUGCCGCUGACUGCAUUAGCUGUAAGGACUGGAUCCGAGAAUACCCAGCUGCUGUUUGGACUGGAGUAGCACUGAAGAAGCACCGCUCAUCGGUCAUCAGAGAGAAAGCAGUUUGGGAUUAAGUUACACAACGGUAGCAAAGCUCAGAGCAGCAUCCAGGAAUGGUGAGGGGCGGAGGCUUUCCGAUGUCCAAAAGGCGUGAGUUACACAAUGGUAGCAUACUGACACACGAAGCAGGGAACAUUCAAGGGGUAGCCGAACCUUUUCCGAUUCCUUGGAGUCUGGAGUCCACUGUUAUGCCACCCUGGCUAGUUCUGCUUUUUUCCUUAAAUAAAAUAGUCAUUCGUGAGCCGGGCGUUGGUGGCGCACGCCUUUAAUCCCAGCACUCCGGAGGCAGAAGCAGGCGAAUCUCUGUGAGUUCGAGGCCAGCCUGGUCUCCAGAGCGAGUGCCAGGAUAGGCUCCAAGGCUACACAGAGAAACCUUGUCUCGAAAAACCAAAACAAACAAACAAAAACAGUCAUUCGUGACCCGAUUGACUCUCAGGCUUCUGUUAGGGCUGAAAUUGCCAUUUCCACAAGGGCACGUGUUGUAGAUGGAGCAGGCUUUACUAACUUCUCAGGUCUCUGCUUUACUAAGGUCACAAAGCCACACCUAAUGUCAACAAUGGAGGAAAUGGGCAAACAGGAUGAAACUGGAACUGGUGGCCCUGAAGAGCAGUUUUUGCAACUUCCAUGACCCCUUUUUGUGAGUGCUACUUCCAUUUUACCCACUAGGUGGCACCACAGUACAUAGUAAUGAGAAAAAAUGACUGACAAGGUGCUGCAAGAAAAGUUGCUAGACCAGAGAAACAGCUGUCUUUAGAUUAGCUGUAAAUUGAGCGUAAUUAACUUCUUUAAUAAACUGUAUCUUCCAGAUAGGGAAAUCUUGGAGCUGGAGAGAUGGUUCAGUGAGUGGCUAAGAGCACUUGCUGCUCUUGCAGAGGACCUGGGUUUGGUUCCCAGCACUCACAUGGGGUGGCUGAAAGCCUCCAGUCCCAGGGGUUCCAACACCCGCAUUUUGUCUCUGUGAGCAACUGAAUGCAUGUGGUUCACAUAUAGACAAGUACACUCACACACACAAAAUGAAAAUACAUAAAUCUUUUUAAAAAGAUAUGACAAUCUUACACAGUCAUGAUAGAGAGUAAGUAACCUGUUCAUUCUCUUUCAUUCCUGUAAACUUGAACAAAGAGAAGCUUAAAGUCUCCGACUGUAUCAGUAACAACCUUGCUGGACUAAAUCAGUUGAGGACAUGCCUAGCCCUCGGAUCUCAUCCUUCAGGAUAUUAAAUCUCUUUGUUGAGAGGA